rnacentral:ribozyme from 1 species
ACCCCACAAUUGGCGCGGCCUCCUCUAGGCGUGGGGUGGGCAACUGUGCCUUUGGCACAGGCUAACAGCGCCA